rnacentral:rRNA from 1 species
GUGGGGUAAUGGCUUACCAAGGCGACGACGGGUAGCCGGCUUGAGAGGGCGACCGGCCACACUGGGACUGAGACACGGCCCGGACUCCUACGGGAGGCAGCAGUGGGGAAUAUUGCACAAUGGGCGAAAGCCUGAUGCAGCGACGCCGCGUGAGGGAUGACGGCCUUCGGGUUGUAAACCUCUUUCAGCAGGGACGAAGCGCAAGUGACGGUACCUGCAGAAGAAGCACCGGCCAACUACGUGCCAGCAGCCGCGGUAAUACGUAGGGUGCAAGCGUUGUCCGGAAUUAUUGGGCGUAAAGAGUUCGUAGGCGGCUUGUCGCGUCGGCUGUGAAAACCUGGGGCUCAACCCCGGGCCUGCAUCCGAUACGGGCGAGCUAGAAUUCGGUAGGGGAGACUGGAAUUCCUGGUGUAGCGGUGAAAUGCGCAGAUAUCAGGAGGAACACCGGUGGCGAAGGCGGGUCUCUGGGCCGAUAUUGACGCUGAGGAGCGAAAGCGUGGGGAGCGAACAGGAUUAGAUACCCUGGUAGUCCACGCCGUAAACGUUGGGCGCUAGGUGUGGGCCACAUUCCAC